AGAGUUUGAUCCUGGCUCAGGAUGAACGCUGACAGAAUGCUUAACACAUGCAAGUCGAUGGGGAAGCGGCGCUUGCGCCGUGGCAACCAUGGCGGACGGGUGAGUAACGCGUAAAGAACUUGCCGGAUGGACCGGGAUAACAGCUGGAAACGGCUGGCAAGACCGGAUACUAUGGGCUGGCCGCAUGGCGGGCCCAUGAAAAGGGAUGCCGUCCGAGAGCUUUGCGUCCUAUUAGCUGGUUGGUAAGGUGACGGCUUACCAAGGCGAUGAUAGGUAGCCGGCCUGAGAGGGUGGACGGCCACAAGGGGACUGAGAUACGGCCCUUACUCCUACGGGAGGCAGCAGUGGGGAAUAUUGGACAAUGGGGGCAACCCUGAUCCAGCAAUUCUGUGUGCACGAAGAAGGUUUUCGGAUUGUAAAGUGCUUUCAGCAGGGAAGAAGAAAGUGACGGUACCUGCAGAAGAAGCGACGGCUAAAUACGUGCCAGCAGCCGCGGUAAUACGUAUGUCGCGAGCGUUAUCCGGAAUUAUUGGGCAUAAAGGGCAUCUAGGCGGCCGGGUAAGUCCGGGGUGAAAACUGCUGGCUCAACCAGCAGCCUGCCUUGGAAACUACCCAGCUGGAGUGCUGGAGAGGUGGACGGAACUGCACGAGUAGAGGUGAAAUUCGUAGAUAUGUGCAGGAAUGCCGAUGAUGAAGAUAGUUCACUGGACGGCAACUGACGCUGAAGUGCGAAAGCUAGGGGAGCAAACAGGAUUAGAUACCCUGGUAGUCCUAGCUGUAAACGAUGAUUACUGGGUGUGGGCAUGAAGAGUGUCCGUGCCGAAGCUAAUGCGAUAAGUAAUCCGCCUGGGGAGUACGGCCGCAAGGCUGAAACUCAA
rnacentral:rRNA from 1 species